GACGAACGCUGGCGGCGUGCUUAACACAUGCAAGUCGAGCGGGCCUUGUCCCCUUUUUUUUUGGGGGUGGGGUUAGUGGCGAACGGGUGAGUAACACGUGAGUAACCUGCCCCUCACUUCUGGAUAACCGCUUGAAAGGGUGGCUAAUACGGGGUGUUCUGGCCUGCUCGCAUGGGUGGGUUUGGAAAGAUUCGACCGGUUUUGGUUGUUUUGGUGGGGGAUGGGCUCGCGGCCUAUCAGCUUGUUGGUGGGGUGAUGGUCUGCCAAGGCUUUGACGGGUAGCCGGCCUGAGAGGGUGGGCGGUCACACUGGGACUGAGACACGGCCCAGACUCCUACGGGAGGCAGCAGUGGGGAAUAUUGCACAAUGGGCGCAAGCCUGAUGCAGCGACGCCGCGUGAGGGAUGGAGGCCUUCGGGUUGUGAACCUCUUUCGCCAGUGAAGAAGGUCCUGCUCUUUGUGGUGGGGUUGACGGUAGCUGGGUUAAUGAAGCGCCGGCUAACUACGUG
rnacentral:rRNA from 1 species